rnacentral:misc_RNA from 1 species
UUGGCAGGCAUCGCAAGGUCGGGCAUCGUGCGGCGUAGAGGCAGCGCGAGUUUUUAUCAUUUUAUUUGUCCCCUAGGUCUCUGUAUGUGCCGACAAUGGUCACAUUUCACAGAACAGUAAUAUUGUUCUAAGUACGUUACCGCGUUUGCUAUGCAUACCACGGAAGUUGGCGUCAGUAACGUCCCCGCAUUUUUAGUUAAGCUAUGGAAGCUUGUCGAAGACGAGAAAUGCAACGACCUGAUCAGCUGGAGCUCGACUGGACAGAGCUUCAUCAUACACAACCAGACGCAGUUUGCCAAGGAACUUCUGCCCCUAUACUUCAAGCACAACAACAUGGCAAGCUUGAUCAGGCAGCUAAAUAUGUAUGGCUUUCGCAAAGUGGCCAACAUAGACCAGGGUCUAAGGUCAGACCGAGAGGGAAUAGAGUUUUUCCAUAACUUCUUCAUUCGGGGUCAAGAAUGUCUGCUAGAAUUCAUCAAGCGAAAGGUUCCAUCUAGCCGGGCAGGUGCAGUUGUCCCUGAUGAUGGACGAGCACGCAGCGAGGUUUUCAAGGAGCUGCUUUCAGAUGUGGGCAGCAUCCAGGGCCGCCAAGAGCAGAUGGACCAGCUGCUUUCAGAAAUGAAAAAAGAAAACGAGGCAUUAUGGCGGGAGGUGGCUCGUCUGCGCCAGAAACACAUGAAGCAGCAGCAAAUAGUUGAAAAGCUCAUCCAAUUCUUGGUCACCAUGGUGCAGGCCAACCGUAAUAUCACCGUAAAGCGAAAAAUCCCACUCAUGCUCCACGACAGUCCCAGCACACAUGCAAAGGUGCCCCGACUGGCCAAGAAUGCCUUUAUUGCCGACUACCAAGUCAGUUCACCUGCUGGUUCACAGGUGUCUGAAGGUCCUGUAAUUCGUGAUGUAACUGAUCUAAUGGAAGACCUUGGUGAGACAAGUGGCCCCAUUGUUGCUGAUGUGGUGACUGCUGGCCAGUCCCCCGGGGCAGGCGAGGUGCCAGCUCCUGUGAUGUCAUUUCGUCCGAUUUCACCAGCAGCCUCCAAUGACUUGGACGUUAGUCCUGUAGUGGCUAGUCCUUUGAAUGCCACAGAAGCAAUAGAGCCUCUGUGCCUACUUGAUCCUCUUCAAGAUGAGGAGGGCUCAUAUGUACUUCCGUGUGACAUUGAAGAAGUGGUUGUGGAUUCAUCUGAGGACAGUUCAAAGGAACUAGCUGCAUCCUCUUCCAAGAGCCUAGCAGUGCCCAGUCUGAAGGCUGUCCAAGUUGUGACGUCUACCACUGACAAGCAGGCCACAUCUGCAAAUUCAGCCUUUUCUUCAUCUAACUCGAUUGGUGAGGAAGAGCCAACAAUGCUGGGUCAAAGGCAGGCACCCAAUGGUACCUCAGACCUGCUGAACAGUUGUGUCUUGCUGGAGGAAAUUCCCAUGUUUGUGGGUGAACCUCCUGUAGCAGCCAGUCCGUCGGGCCUGGCUGACCUUGCAACGGAGGAAAGCUCCAAGCACAAGGAGAAAGCAAUUGCACCACGCAGCCCAGGAAUGCAGGUGGCAUUGCAGGACAAGGCUGCUGGAUCCACUAAGGUUUUUGCAGAGCAUGUGGAAUCCAUAGAUACCGACUUGGAUUGGCUGCAAGACCAGCUAAUGAGUGGAGGGCUCAACUUGGACACUUCCACACUGAUGGGGGUAUGUCCUGACUGGACAGGGCUUCUGUCAAAAGCCUCAAAGGGAUCUCAGGGCUGCAGUCCAGUGAUGAAGAUAUCAGUGGGUCUCAUACCUUGGAUAAGUUGUUCUCUCCUGAAGAUCCAUUGACGUCUUGUUUGGGGGAAUUGGCUACUGAAAACAGGUCUAUUUCAGACACCAUAGGCAACGAGGUGGUGCAGUACACACCAAGCCUCCUUGACCUGGGCAUUGAAGACGACUCCUCAUUUCAGCCUGUUAAUGAGCUUCUUUUGUCCGACGAUGAACUCCCAAG